rnacentral:rRNA from 1 species
GAUGAACGCUAGCGGCAGGCCUAAUACAUGCAAGUCGAACGGUCCGCUUCGGCGGAUAGUGGCGCACGGGUGCGUAACACGUAUGCAACCUACCUUACAUUGGGGGAUAGCCUUUCGAAAGGGAGAUUAAUACCGCAUAAGACAGUAGCUGGGCAUCCAGUAGCUGUUAAAGAUUUAUCGAUGUAAGCUGGGCAUGCGUCCAAUUAGUUAGUUGGUGAGGUAACGGCUCACCAAGACGAUGAUUGGUAGGGGAACUGAGAGGUCAAUCCCCCACACUGGCACUGAGAUACGGGCCAGACUCCUACGGGAGGCAGCAGUAGGGAAUAUUGGGCACUGGACGCAAGUCUGACCCAGCCAUGCCGCGUGCAGGAAGACUGCCCUAUGGGUUGUAAACUGCUUUUGUACGGGAAGAAAUCAAUCUACGUGUAGGUUGUUGACGGUACCGUGAGAAUAAGGAUCGGCUAACUUCGUGCCAGCCGCCGCCGUAAUAC